rnacentral:rRNA from 1 species
UACGAAGGGGGCUAUCGUUGCUCGGAAUCACUGGGCGUAAAGCGCACGUAGGCGGAUUGUUAAGUCGGGGGUGAAAUCCUGGAGCUCAACUCCAGAACUGCCUUCGAUACUGACGAUCUCGAGUCCGGGAGAGGUGAGUGGAACUCCGAGUGUAGAGGUGAAAUUCGUAGAUAUUCGGAAGAACACCAGUGGCGAAGGCGGCUCACUGGCCCGGUACUGACGCUGAGGUGCGAAAGCGUGGGGAGCAAACAGG